CAGCCUAAUUCCAUUCAGGCCUAUUACACCCAUCUGCUGUAAUAGCCAUUCAUUCCCUUCAGCACUGAAUAGGGAUUCGAUCCGCCGUUUCUUUCCUAGUUUCCAUUUUCUGCCCUCAGCUUCAUCUUCUCCUACGUUUCCUUCUUUUCCAAAUUGCAGAGGUCAUUACCAGUUUCACUCUUUAGCAGCUCACACUCUUUCCUUGUUUAUUUUACAGGCUUGGCAUCCAUGGUUUUUUCAGGUUGAAACCUUGCUCCCCUUUGGUGGUGUAUUACCAAACUUCCAGUGUAAUUGACUAAAUCUAUCAGGCAAAACAUCACCUGCUACCUCAUUUAUCGGAACUGCAUCAGAAAUUUCUUUCAAAUAUUUUGCUGUGAUCUUUACUUUUACUGAAUCAAUGUUACUAUACAGAUUUUUUUAUCUUUGUUGUUCCUGUGAAAACAAGAAUGAAGGAAAGGGUCAAAACUAGGCGCUUUAGGCUAGCCUCGAUAGAGGGACGGAUAUGGUUAUUCACUUGUCUAAUUAGAGAAGUUGUGCAUGGGAAAUUAGUGCUUUUAGGAAUAAAUAACGAGGAUGGUGUAGAUGUGGUGAACAAGGGUUGCUAUAACGAAAAUCUAUCACAACAAAUCAAUAUUGAUGAUAGAGGUAUUGCUGUUUUUUGGUUGCAUGUAAUCCCUGCCAUAGUUAUGUACAGUUCACAGGGUCCAUUUUCUUGUCCUGAGAAGCUAGGGUCAAUUUCAUUCAGUGUAGAGUUCUUGAAACUUAUACUGAUCACUCUGCUGUACUAAGCCCAACCAUUGGAUUAUUUGAGUUCCAAAGUCACAAAAUAUGCUAGAAUUUAUUUUUGUUUAGUGAGCAAA